UACGUAGGGGGCUAGCGUUGUCCGGAAUCAUUGGGCGUAAAGCGCGCGUAGGCGGCCAGAUAAGUCCGGUGUGAAAGCCACAGGCUCAACCUGUGAAUGCCGCUGGAAACUGUCUGGCUAGAGUCCGGGAGGGGCGAGUGGAAUUCCUGGUGUAGCGGUGAAAUGCGCAGAUAUCAGGAGGAACACCGAUGGCGAAGGCAGGUCUCUGGGCCACUACUGACGCUGAGAAGCGAAAGCAUGGGGAGCGAACAGG
rnacentral:rRNA from 1 species